UACGGAGGAUGCGAGCGUUAUCCGGAUUUACUGGGUGUAAAGGGAGCGUAGACGGUGAUGCAAGUCAGAAGUGAAAGCCCGGGGCUCAACUCCGGGACUGCUUUUGAAACUGUGUGACUGGAGUGCAGGAGAGGGCGGUGGAACUCCAUGUGUAGCGGUAAAAUGCGUAGAUAUAUGGAAGAACACCAGUGGCGAAGGCGGCCGCCUGGCCUGUUGCUGAUGCUGAGGCACGAAAGCGUGGGGAGCAAAUAGG
rnacentral:rRNA from 1 species